CAGAAACUAGAGGCCGCUGACAGAGAUAAAAAUUUAUGUUAUGUUAUUGCUUACCAUAUCUUAAACUAAACAAUCAGAGGAGCUUCCCGAACUCCGCGUUCCCACCCGAAGGUUGUGUUAUGGGUUUGGGGAGUCGGAUAAGGAAGUGAUAAUAAACCAGACGGAAGGAAUAUGUCAACAUGUCCUCAGUUCCACUUCUCCAUUGGUGUUGUGUGUGUGUGUAAAGCUUUCAAUAAAAGGCUGGACCAAAGGGGUGCUCGAUGGAAUGUCUUGGAGGUCGUCGUGUUCAGAGCAUGUGCGACUGAGCUUCCCCUUUGGUCCAAAGCUUUGACCAAAGAUACUACGUUGUCUGUGAUUCAUUCUCACCUCCUUGACCGUGAAUAUUUUAAAUGAUAUAGAGAGGAAAAAAACCUAUCAUAACUUGGUGCCGUGACCCGGAUCCCAACAUACCCAUCGUCUGGAUUUUUCUUUUUCCUGCGGAGCCACUGACACCUGUGCAAGGCCCCGACUGAUCAUCGGAUUAAGAGACCGCUCAGCAGUGGAUAAAUUCUGCAGAAAGGAGAUCCAGUCGUGGAUUGACGGAUCCGCGGAUCGGAAGACCGAGGGAGACUGACCCAGACAAAGUCGGCGACUGGGUCUGCAUCCGCGUCAUCAAGAAAAAGACGUGGAGCGACGCUCGCUGGGAGGGACCAUUCCAAGUCCUUCUGACGACUGCAACCGCUGUAAAGAUAGCCGAGAGGACCACCUGGAUACAUCUUUCCCAUUGCAAACUGUUCCCUACAGAAAUCCCGGACCAGUGCCCUGAUCCCGAGACGACCACGAGCAGAGGGGAAGACUGACUUCAAAGGGGGCUGUCCGCUUAAAAGACAGCCAUCUCAACGUCAGUGAAGAAACCAACAAUCCCUGCUCUUAGGUGUCGCCUCGGAUGAUGGAGCCCAUUGAAACGACCGCGUACACUCAUAUGUAUGAUGACAUGGGAAGACCUGUCAAUGCUCCCGUUUAAGAAAAUAUAACGUAAACUUUUGGUUUAAGCUUGUAUGACAUAAUUGUGUAAAACUCCUCACAAGGAACGGACAAUUAUUGAUGUGAAGCUGCUGACUAAAAAGUUUAAUUCCCAAAGAGAUUGGUGUGGUGUUACUAACAAAUUAUGUGUAAGAAAAAAAGAAUAAUCAUGAUUCUGCUUGGACUGCUUAACCCAAAUACGUAAAUCACAUGCUGCUUAGAAAUUAGACAAAUCAAAUGAGUGCCCUUAUUGACCAUGUUUAAAUAAUAAGCAAUAGCAUAAACAGGAGGGAACUGACAGAGAUAAAAAUUUAUGUUAUGUUAUUGCUUACCAUAUCUUAAACUAAACAAUCAGAGGAGCUUCCCGAACUCCGCGUUCCCACCCGAAGGUUGUGUUAUGGGUUUGGGGAGUCGGAUAAGGAAGUGAUAAUAAACCAGACGGAAGGAAUAUGUCAACAUGUCCUCAGUUCCACUUCUCCAUUGGUGUUGUGUGUGUGUGUAAAGCUUUCAAUAAAAGGCUGGACCAAAGGGGUGCUCGAUGGAAUGUCUUGGAGGUCGUCGUGUUCAGAGCAUGUGCGACUGAGCUUCCCCUUUGGUCCAAAGCUUUGACCAAAGAUA